rnacentral:rRNA from 1 species
CGCAGACGGUUUAUUAAGUCUGAUGUGAAAGCCCGGAGCUCAACUCCGGAAUGGCAUUGGAAACUGGUUAACUUGAGUGCAGUAGAGGUAAGUGGAACUCCAUGUGUAGCGGUGGAAUGCGUAGAUAUAUGGAAGAACACCAGUGGCGAAGGCGGCUUACUGGACUGCAACUGACGUUGAGGCUCGAAAGUGUGGUAGCAAACA